rnacentral:rRNA from 1 species
AUGAUUGAGGAGAUCUUCCUCCGUCUGCCCACCCCUGCCGCACUCGGCCGCGCCUCGACCGCCUGCCCCCGUUUCCGCCGCGUCAUCACCGAGCGCUCCUUCCUCCGCCGCUAUCGCAAACGCCACCCGCCGCCGCUUCUCGGCUUCGCCGACCAAUAUCCAGGGUUCCACCCCGCCCAGGCGCCCUACCCGUCCGCCCCGCUCUCCCGUGCCCUCGCCGACGCUGCCGCUUUCACAUACUCUUUCGUCCCCAAGCCCAGCGAGGGGUACCGGGGUGUGUGCGACGUCCGCGACGGCCGCGUCCUUCUCGAGGAGGUCAACCUUGAUAACAACGACAUCGCGGUGUGCGAUCCCUUGUCACGGCGCUACGUGCUACUUCCGCCCAUACCUGGGGACCUGACAUCCGAGAAGAAACGCCCUUGUCAAAGCACGCCCUUGCUCGUGCCGGUUAGCGAGGAUGAGGAUGAGACCUUGUUCAAGGUGAUCCUCUUUGCUGACUAUGGUACCGAACUGGCUGUGUUUGUCUUCUCUUCCAUCACCGGAAAAUGGUCUGUAGCCGCAUCAACCAGUUGGAGCUCUUUGGGUGGUCGCCCCCCUGGGUUGGACUUGGACAGUCACCCGUUUGGAUGCCGCGGCCUGUCCUGUUUCGCCCGUGGCUGCUUCUAUUUUGCAUCGCCUUGCAGGGACAGGUUGCUCGUGCUGGAGCUGGACACACUGUUUUCUACCGUCAACAAUCACACUGGCUACCAAGUAAAGCUCAGAUGGCUGCCUAGGCAGGUGGAAAAUGAUUUCACCAGGAACAACAUGCAAUGCAGAAGUCGACCUGGCCAGGCCAGACUGCCUCGCAUUGUACUGGGUAAAGAAGGGGCCAUUGAGGUGUUUUCUCUCGUUGAUGAUCACCGCCCAAAUGGCUUGUUUUAUCUCUAUCAUUAUACCCAACAAAAUAAUGCUGAAUCUUCCAAGGAAUGGCAGCUGGAGAAUAUUGUACCGUUGCCUGGCGGAUAUAACUAUUUCAUCACGGGCGCAGAUGAGGGAUUCUUAUUCCUUGGAGCCACUACAGAAGAUCAGCUUGACAUUAGUAGAGGCUCAGGAGUGCAGUUGUUGGCUACUUACUGGGAUGUAGACUAUUUUUCGCUGGAUGUCAAGACUUCUGAACUUAUGAAGGUUUGUAGGAGGAAGAGGUGUUUCUUUACUCGUGAAAAUGUUUACUGGUACUUCGGCUUCCCUCCAUCAUUGUCAAAACCAAGUAUAUGA